rnacentral:misc_RNA from 1 species
CCACCGAGGGAACCGGCAGUCGAUAACGGUACGUGUACCCGGACGCGUCGGUGUUACGUCGCGCGUCGCGGCAAAUGCGCGCGCUAGGCGAGUACGAGCCAGUUCGCGAACAUCAGGCCAGUCAGGCAGUGGCAGGAAAAAAUGGCGGAUGUCGACUUGAAUAUCGACAACCUGAUACAGAGAUUACUGGAAGUAUACCACACGCAGAAAGACCAGGUUCAGAAGAAAGCCAAGCUAAAAGAUAUUUUCUCGUCGGACUUUGUCGUCAGAGGAUGUCGACCAGGCAAAACUGUUAUCAUGACGGAGGCCGAGGUGCGUGGCCUCUGUCUGAAGUCGCGGGAGAUUUUCCUGCAGCAGCCGAUUCUGCUGGAGCUGGAGGCGCCGCUUAAGAUCUGCGGCGACAUACACGGCCAGUACACCGACCUGCUGCGGCUAUUCGAGUACGGCGGCUUCCCACCCGAGGCGAACUACUUGUUCCUGGGUGACUAUGUCGAUCGAGGGAAGCAGUCUCUCGAGACAAUAUGUCUGCUGCUGGCGUACAAGAUCAAGUAUCCGGAGAACUUCUUCCUGUUGCGCGGCAAUCACGAGUGCGCUAGCAUAAAUAGGAUAUACGGUUUCUACGACGAGUGCAAGCGGCGGUACAACAUCAAGCUCUGGAAAACGUUCACGGAUUGCUUCAACUGUUUGCCGAUCGCCGCGAUCAUCGACGAGAAGAUCUUCUGCUGCCAUGGUGGGCUCAGUCCUGAUCUGCAGGGGAUGGAGCAAAUAAGAAGAAUUAUGCGUCCAACCGAUGUACCUGAUACCGGUCUUCUCUGUGAUCUCCUGUGGUCCGAUCCCGACAAAGACGUCCAGGGUUGGGGCGAAAACGACAGAGGAGUCUCGUUCACAUUCGGUCCAGAUGUCGUGUCGAAGUUCCUGAAUCGCCACGACAUGGAUCUGAUAUGCAGGGCGCACCAGGUAGUCGAAGACGGUUACGAAUUUUUCGCCAAGCGACAACUCGUCACGCUGUUCUCCGCGCCGAACUACUGCGGCGAAUUUGACAACGCUGGCGGAAUGAUGAGCGUCGACGAGACCUUGAUGUGCAGCUUUCAGAUUUUGAAACCGUCGGAGAAGAAAGCCAAGUACCAAUAUGGAGGCAUGAACACGGGUCAAACCGGUAGACCAUCUACACCACAAAGGAAUCCAGCCAAAAAGAAAUGACAGCCUUCAACCGAUCCUGCACAGCAACAAACGCGAUUAUCCUUAAUGGAGGCUAUCAUGCUAGAACGAAGACGUCGAGAUACAGAACUAAUCUCUAAUCUGAUAAACGUAAAGCUAAACCGUGUAAGAUUCAUCUUCUCUCUCGAUUGCGUCUUGUACGAAAUAGGAGUCGUACGAACGAUAUAUAAGUCGCAGUGAACCGUGAGUUUCGAUUGUCAUCGUGUGCUUGACGAAAGAUCGCUCCCUCGAAUUUUCCCGGCAGUUAAUUCGCCGGCAUUUUCCACUCGGAGCAUUGGAUUAACUAUCGGAGCGAUCCUUGGUGAAGCUGUGGUUGUUUCACUUUUUAAAAGAGCAUUUUUUGUGUCAUUCUCAUUUGUAUUUAUUGCCUUCCACUGUUGAUGUUGAGUGUAAUUACAAGAAGACUCGCUGUUAAUAUUAAUAUUAUUUUUAUUUUUUAAUAUUACUUUUACCAUCGCUAAUAUCAAGCGGAUAAUUUAAACGUCAUUAUUUCUUAAUAAGCGAUGCUGCGCGCGCGCGUGUAUAUAGAUAGAUAGAGAUAUAUACAUAUAUAUAUAUAUAUAUAUUUUUGACCAUUUAUCCUUUCUCGUAGAGACCACACAUUACUCACGAAUUUAAUUCUGUCAUCCUGUGCAGUAUUCCGAGCGUGGUUAGUGACUGCACGUUCCAGAAAAUAUGUCGUAGACGAAUUAGGUUGUUUAUUCUCGGGCGAUGAAUCCAGAGAGGAACACAGAGAAUUACCAGUAUUUUCAAGACGAUGUGUUUCUGCGCUGAUCACGGCUUUACUCGAAGGAAAUAUUGAAAUGAGGUAGAAAUUGUGAGAAAAGGAAAUAAGAAAAAAAAUCGAUGCGUCGUAUAGGGGAAAAAACGUACUUCAGAGGCAGAAUUUCAGUCGCGGGUGCCUGGCGCUCGCCAAUAAAAACGAAUGCGAACAUGGAGGAUUCUUUUAGCGUAUGAAAACUGUUUCUUGAAACACAAAAACAUACGGGUGAUGGUUUUCGACGGGCGAAACAUACUUUCACAUUUCGAAUUUAAAUUAUUGCGUUUGAUACAGUGCGCACGUAUAUGUUCAUGUUUAUCUGUAGCAGAUCUGUGUAGAAUAUUCAACGCUAGGAUAAAGCUCACUUAUUCUUUUCGAGCAAAACUGUGGCGUAUCGCAUUUACGAGCCAUUUGGUGCAUUUAUUUCAACACGUUUGUUGCCACGUAUUAUCGUUUCUCUUUCGUUUCGUAGCAUUCGUGAUGCUGGAUUCGUCGCUGAUGAAAUUCACUGGUAAUAGAAUCGUUUCGCAAACCGUUAAUAGUACACUGAGCAGUUGUACUCCGCUGCGCUCCCGUUCUAUAAUCGGCGCUGCGUAUUAUUUGCGUUUUGCGUGGCGGAAAUCGAUAGCACCUGAUGCGGAAGAACGUGCAUUUCGGCAAGAGAAUCGCCCUGUGCGUUAUUUGCGACCGUUGUACCGCAGGGUAGCAUGCGGGAAUACUAUGAAUCGCGCAUAUGCGGCGCACUAUUCGACGAAGAGAGACUUGGAAAUCUCCAUGGAAGCAAAUCGAUCAUCAAGUAGUGACGAUGUGGUUGUAUUCAUAGUCGAGGAUAUCUUACUAUAGUGAUGUGCAAUUGUGUCUUCUAGAACUUAAAUAUUUACUAUUUGCUAUUGGCAAAAAUAUCCGCGUGAAUACAACCGAAUGAAUUCCUGGGAUGCACGUCAAAGUUAACAUUGGCGCCUUCACGCAUGUGUCUGUCGACGACUGAAUGGACAUUAACGAUUGACGAAAUCAUGAUCGCUUAUCAUGAUCGACGAUUCGGAAACAAAGAACCUACAUUAAACAAAACAAAAAAAAAAGAAGAAGAAACCGCGAGAACUCAUCCCGAUCCAAAGAUUAAUCAAACGUAAGCGAACCUUUCCGUAGAGCAGCAACGCAAUUUUCGGUAUUCACAUCGUUAUUCAUUAUUUGAUUGUUAUUUAACGUUAUCGGAUAUUGAUAUCGGAUAGAGAAUGACAAAGUUAGUAGUUUACUGUUCGAGGUGUUUCUCAACGACGACGACGACAUACGAGAGAGACGCGAUUGACAAAUUUGUUACGUAUUGGAAAGUGCGGAGUAGGAAACGCGCCGAUACGAAUGAUACGGAAGAGGCCCGUGCCCUUCCUGUCCCCCUUCAACUCCUGCGUUCCUCUCUCACCUCUCCGAAAAGAGAGACGGUGAUUAAUUAUUGUCAAAGGAGCGGUUGUGAUCCCUCGAUAUGCGUUUUGUCCGAGAUAUUCAUAUAUUAUAUACAGAUAUUAUAUUUGUAAUGGGGUUUGGCUGGUCGCGAUUCGACGAUGCUUUAUUAAAUAAGUAAAUAAAGGGCGAGGGACGCUCUCUCCCAUGAGAGGAGUCUGCGACUAUCGUGGAUUGUUACAUCGCUCGAAUCGUCGACGACGGAGCGCGGCCAUGCGAUGGCAUCCUAAAGAGAUGUAAAACUUUCAGAUAAUAAACAUGCAUAUUGUUGUACAAA